UGUAACUAACUUGUUGACUGCCUCCAA
rnacentral:piRNA from 1 species